rnacentral:lncRNA from 1 species
GUUCGUUCUUAUGUUGUACUGUUAUACCACUGUCCCAGGUUAGGGGGAGGGUUUGGAUCCCGUUAACAUGUUAACCCCGCCACAUUAUUUAUGUAUGUGCCUGUCCUAAGUCAGGAGCCUGUAAUUCAGUGGUUGUCGUUUGUUUAUGUGUUACAUAUUUGUUUUUCGUUCAUUUUUUUUUACAUAAAUAAGGCCGUUAGUUUUCUCGUUUGAAUUGUUUUACAUUGUCUUAUCGGGACCUUUUAUAGCUGACUAUGCGGUAUGGGCUUUGUUCAUUGUUGAAGGCCGUACGGUGACCUAUAGUUGUUAAUGUUUGUGUCAUUUUGGUCUUUUGUGGAUAGUUGUCUCAUUGGCA